CUUAUUAAAUGGCCCACAAAUUAUAAAUCUCAUUAUCCAAUAUUCUUAAAAGUCCCAUAAUUUACUCAAUAUUAUGCAUAUUUUUUUCUUUUCGGCAGCGUGUUACCAACAUCCCAAUGUGACCAACAUAACGAAAAUCAUCGUAUUUUAUACUCAGCGUCUAAUACCGUUGUGGUACUCAUAUCAAGAAUAAGCAGCCUUGGUUGGGUGUGGCACGGCAUAAUUUAUAAAUAGAGAGUGAUCGAGUAGUCACGCCAUCCAUUUUUUAAAUAUUUAUUGACGGUUGCAAAUCAUUACGUUUCGACUCGAUUAAUAACCACUCAACAUCGCUACGACUGUAUAAGAGCCCACGCAGUUUACGCCAUGUUGUAACCUGCUCGCGCACAGACCGUCAGUUGUCUUUCGACAGUCGAAGUGCGAGGAUGUCUUUUUUUCAAAAGUGCAGCGAGGGUUCAUUGUCGCACAUCAAGAUUGGGCUACAGCGCAUUCAGCAAACGAUGAAGAUGUUAACGCGGAUGUUUCAUGAUCGAAUCAGCUAUCGAAAUCGGUGGCCCCUAAGUCGCCAACGGAUUUCUAUCUAGGGGAGGGGGGGUUGUUUGAAGGACAACGUGUAUGAAAACAAAACACUGAGUUGUGUAUUUUAAAGGUACCUUCAGAAACUCUUCGCCGGGUUUCAACUAGCACGAGGAGAAGAGAGAAUCUGAUUUAUCGCUAAACGCGGUAGACAUUUUCAACGCUUCAUAUAACAUUAUUUUUGUUUUCUGAUAUCGAUGUAAUUUGCUUCUGACAAGUAAAGCAAGUUUCAGGAA